AGAGUUUGAUCCUGGCUCAGGACGAACGCUGGCGGCGUGCUUAACACAUGCAAGUCGAACGGUAAGGCCCUUCGGGGUACACGAGUGGCGAACGGGUGAGUAACACGUGGGUAAUCUGCCCUGCACAUCGGGAUAAGCCUGGGAAACUGGGUCUAAUACCGAAUAGGACCACAGGACACAUGUCCUGUGGUGGAAAGCUUUUGCGGUGUGGGAUGGGCCCGCGGCCUAUCAGCUUGUUGGUGGGGUGAUGGCCUACCAAGGCGACGACGGGUAGCCGGCCUGAGAGGGUGUCCGGCCACACUGGGACUGAGAUACGGCCCAGACUCCUACGGGAGGCAGCAGUGGGGAAUAUUGCACAAUGGGCGAAAGCCUGAUGCAGCGACGCCGCGUGGGGGAUGACGGCCUUCGGGUUGUAAACCUCUUCCACCAUCGACGAAGGUCCGGGUUUUCUCGGGCUGACGGUAGGUGGAGAAGAAGCACCGGCCAACUACGUGCCAGCAGCCGCGGUAAUACGUAGGGUGCGAGCGUUGUCCGGAAUUACUGGGCGUAAAGAGCUCGUAGGUGGUUUGUCGCGUUGUUCGUGAAAUCUCACGGCUUAACUGUGAGCGUGCGGGCGAUACGGGCAGACUUGAGUACUGCAGGGGAGACUGGAAUUCCUGGUGUAGCGGUGGAAUGCGCAGAUAUCAGGAGGAACACCGGUGGCGAAGGCGGGUCUCUGGGCAGUAACUGACGCUGAGGAGCGAAAGCGUGGGGAGCGAACAGGAUUAGAUACCCUGGUAGUCC
rnacentral:rRNA from 1 species